AUAUCAAUAAGCGGAGGAAAAGAAACCAACAGGGAUUGCCUUAGUAACGGCGAGUGAAGCGGCAAAAGCUCAAAUUUGAAAUCUGGCAGUAAUGUCCGAGUUGUAAUUUGAAGAAGGUAACUUUGGUGAUAGCUCUUGCAUAUGUUCCUUGGAACAGGACGUCAUAGAGGGUGAGAAUCCCGUAUAUGGUGAGAUGACAUAUUACUAUGUAAAGUGCCUUCGAAGAGUCGAGUUGUUUGGGAAUGCAGCUCUAAGUGGGUGGUAAAUUCCAUCUAAAGCUAAAUAUUGGCGAGAGACCGAUAGCGAACAAGUACAGUGAUGGAAAGAUGAAAAGAACUUUGAAAAGAGAGUGAAAAAGUAC
rnacentral:rRNA from 1 species